rnacentral:rRNA from 1 species
AUGGCAGAACCAACCACCGCUGAUCUGGCCAAGAUGAUCGAGGCCUUGACUGCAACGGUGGCGUCCCUGCAGACGUCUGUCGCCGCACUCCAAAAGGACAAGUCCGCCUCCUCGUCGAGCGCUGACGGAGCCCACGAUGGGCAGCACCACAAUGAUCGACCGCCCCUGUUUCAGAAGAUGGACUUCCCCAAGUUCGACGGCAAGUCCGAUCCUCUCGCAUUCAUCAACAGAUGCGAGUCCUUCUUCCAUCAACAACGGAUUGCCGAGGAGGAGAAAGUGUGGAUGGCGUCAUACAAUCUCGAGGGUACUGCCCAACUGUGGUAUAUGCAGGUCCAGCACGAUGAGGGCACGCCUCCGUGGCGCCGCUUCACCGAGCUGCUCAAUCUCCGCUUCGGGCCACCUCUGCGCACUAACCCGCUGGGCGAACUAAUGGUGUGCAAGCGCACGACAUCCGUCGUCGACUUCCAGGAGCGGUUUGAGGCGCUCCUUCCCCGGGCAGGCAUCUUAUCCGAGACAUAG